CCCUCCCCCGUUCAUGCUCUGUCUCUUUCUGUCUCAAAAAUAAAUAAACAUUUAAAAAUGAUAAUAAUAAAAAAAAAAAAAAACAAGAAGAAAUAUCCUAGGGAUCAAGAUGGAGUAAAACAUUUAGUGAGCGACACUUUGUAUCAAUUCCUGUAUCAGAUGCUUUACAUAAUAAUAACAACAGACACAUAGAGUCACUAUAGUGGACCAGGCAGGUUUCUAAGCACCUAACAUACUUAGUUUUUAAAACUACUUGAUAAGACAGAGGAACAUGUUAAAUGGACACGAACAUAUGAAUAAAUACCAUGGCCAUAUGAACAGAAAAAUCCAGAAUAUGAGAAAUGAUACAUAACCACGAUCCGUUUUUUUUUUCUAACAAAUAAAUGACCAAGAAACUAUAAAAGGGAGGUAAAGAGGACCUACAGAUUAAGUGGCUGAAGAGACAUUUUAA